GUGCCAGCACCCGCGGUAAUUACGGAGGGUGCAAGCGUUAAUCAGAAUUACUGGGCGUAAAGCGCACGCAGGCGGUCUGUCAAGUCGGAUGUGAAAUCCCCCGGGGCUCAACCCUGGGAACUGCAUUCGAAACUGGCAGGCUAGAGUCUUGUAGAGGGGGGUAGAAUUCCAGGUGUAGCGGUGAAAUGCGUAGAGAUCUGGAGGAAUACCGGUGGCGAAGGCGGCCCCCUGGACAAAGACUGACGCUCAGGUGCGAAAGCGUGGGGAGCAAACAGGAUUAGAUACCCUGGUAGUCC
rnacentral:rRNA from 1 species